GGAGGAGAAAUGAGAGGCUUCUUCAGACGAUCCAAUCGGAUCAUCUCCAAAAUGAUUUUUGUGAUCUGCAUAUUUUUCUUCUUUCUUUUGCCGGGAAGCAAUGGCGCCUCUGACUCCAAAGAUGUCGACCAAACCCCUCCGUCCAUAAUUAAGAAAACUGGUGAAUCUGUGGACAAAGAGAUCAGAUGUUCACACAGCAUACCGAGCUAUCAAGUCAUUCUGUGGUACAAACAAGACAAGCACAAAGCUCUGAAGCUCCUGGGAUAUCUGAAUCUGGAAUAUCCUAACAUUGAAGAAGAUGUGAAAGGGAAAAUCAGUUUUGAAGGAGAUGGGCGCCAACAGUCCACCCUCACAGUUUCUAAUCUCACAGUAGACGACAGUGCUGUGUAUUUCUGUGCUGCCAGUCAGCACAGUGCAGCAGAAUACCCAGAAGUCAGUACAAAAACUCUGUAGAAAGAGAGAGAACAGCUGCAGUCAGCCUCCACGUCAGACUCACAGCGGCGCCGACUGGGUCGGACCA